GCAGCUCAGUGGUAGAGCAUCUGCUUUGCAUGUGAAAGAUCUCAGGUUCAAUCCUUGGCAGAUGCC